rnacentral:rRNA from 1 species
ACUCAAAUGAAUUGACGGGGGCCCGCACAAGCGGUGGAGCAUGUGGUUUAAUUCGAUGCAACGCGAAGAACCUUACCUACUCUUGACAUCCUACGAACUCAGCUGAGAGGCUGAGGUGCCGAAAGGAACGUGGAGACAGGUGCUGCAUGGCUGUCGUCAGCUCGUGUCGUGAGAUGUUGGGUUAAGUCCCGUAACGAGCGCAACCCUUGUUCUUAGUAGCCAUCAUUAAGUUGGGCACUCUAAGAAGACUGCCGGUGAUAAACCGGAGGAAGGUGGGGACGAGGUCAAGUCAUCAUGGCCUUUAUGAGUAGGGCCACACACGUGCUACAAUGGUUGGUACAGAGGGAAGCGAACUUGCGAGGGGGAGCGAAUCUCAAAAAGCCGAUCGUAGUCCGGAUUGGAGUCUGCAACUCGACUCCAUGAAGUUGGAAUCGCUAGUAAUCGCGGAUCAGAACGCCGCGGUGAAUACGUUCCCGGGCCUUGCACACACCGCCCGU